AUUGAACGCUGGCGGCAUGAUUUACACAUGCAAGUCGAACGGUAACAGGCCGCAAGGUGCUGACGAGUGGCGAACGGGUGAGUAAUGCAUCGGAACGUGCCCAGUCGUGGGGGAUAACUACUCGAAAGAGUAGCUAAUACCGCAUACGAUCUAUGGAUGAAAGCGGGGGACCGUAAGGCCUCGCGCGAUUGGAGCGGCCGAUGUCAGAUUAGGUAGUUGGUGGGGUAAAGGCUCACCAAGCCAACGAUCUGUGGCUGGUCUGAGAGGACGACCAGCCACACUGGGACUGAGACACGGCCCAGACUCCUACGGGAGGCAGCAGUGGGGAAUUUUGGACAAUGGGCGCAAGCCUGAUCCAGCAAUGCCGCGUGCAGGAAGAAGGCCUUCGGGUUGUAAACUGCUUUUGUACGGAACGAAACGGCCCUGGUUAAUACCCGGGGCUAAUGACGGUACCGUAAGAAUAAGCACCGGCUAACUACGUG
rnacentral:rRNA from 1 species